rnacentral:rRNA from 1 species
CCUACGGGUGGCUGCAGUGAGGAAUAUUGGUCAAUGGGAGAGAUCCUGAACCAGCCAAGCCGCGUGAGGGAAGACGGCUCUAUGGGUUGUAAACCUCUUUUGUCGGAGAACAAAUCCCGGGACGAGUCCCGGACUGCGUGUAUCCGAAGAAAAAGCAUCGGCUAACUCCGUGCCAGCAGCCGCGGUAAUACGGAGGAUGCGGGCGUUAUCCGGAUUUAUUGGGUUAAAGGGGUGCGUAGGCGGUCUGUUAAGUCCGCGGUAAAAUUGCGGGGCUAAACUCCGUCGAGCCGUUGAAACUGGCAGACUUGAGUUGGCGAGAAGUACGCGGAAUGCGCGGUGUAGCGGUGAAAUGCAUAGAUAUCGCGCAGAACCCCGAUUGCGAAGGCAGCGUACCGGCGCCAGACUGACGCUGAGGCACGAAAGCGUGGGGAGCGAACAGGAUUAGAUACCCUAGUAGUC